UCAGGGAUAGCUCAGGUGGUAGAGUAAUGAGCUGAUAACUCAUCGGUCGGGGUUCAACUCCCUCUCCUGGACCA
rnacentral:tRNA from 1 species